UGACGAGUGGCGAACGGGUGAGUAAUGCAUCGGAACGUGCCCAGAGGUGGGGGAUAACGCAGCGAAAGCUGUGCUAAUACCGCAUGUGAUCUGAGGAUGAAAGCGGGGGACCAAGCAGCAAUGUUUGGCCUCGUGCCUCUGGAGCGGCCGAUGUCAGAUUAGGUAGUUGGUGGGGUAAAGGCCUACCAAGCCGACGAUCUGUAGCUGGUCUGAGAGGACGACCAGCCACACUGGGACUGAGACACGGCCCAGACUCCUACGGGAGGCAGCAGUGGGGAAUUUUGGACAAUGGGCGCAAGCCUGAUCCAGCAAUGCCGCGUGCGGGAAGAAGGCCUUCGGGUUGUAAACCGCUUUUGUACGGAACGAAAAGGCUCUGGCUAAUACCUGGGGCUGAUGACGGUACCGUAAGAAUAAGCACCGGCUAACUACGUGCCAGCAGCCGCGGUAAUACGUAGGGUGCGAGCGUUAAUCGGAAUUACUGGGCGUAAAGCGUGCGCAGGCGGUCUUGUAAGACAGAGGUGAAAUCCCUGGGCUCAACCUAGGAAUGGCCUUUGUGACUGCAAGGCUGGAGUGCGGCAGAGGGGGAUGGAAUUCCGCGUGUAGCAGUGAAAUGCGUAGAUAUGCGGAGGAACACCGAUGGCGAAGGCGGUCCCCUGGGCCUGCACUGACGCUCAUGCACGAAAGCGUGGGUAGCAAACAGGAUUAGAUACCCUGGUAGUUCACGCCCUAUACGAUGUCGA
rnacentral:rRNA from 1 species